UACAGAGGUGGCAAGCGUUGUUCGGAAUUACUGGGCGUAAAGGGCGCGUAGGCGGCCUUCUAAGUCGAACGUGAAAUCCCCGGGCUCAACCCGGGAACUGCGUCCGAGACUGGGAGGCUAGAAUCCGGGAGAGGGAUGUGGAAUUCCAGGUGUAGCGGUGAAAUGCGUAGAUAUCUGGAGGAACAUCGGUGGCGAAGGCGGCUCACUGGACCGGCAUUGACGCUGAGGUGCGAAAGCGUGGGGAGCAAACAGG
rnacentral:rRNA from 1 species